rnacentral:rRNA from 1 species
UACGGAGGAUCCGAGUGUUAUCCGGAUUUAUUGGGUUUAAAGGGUGCGCAGGCGGAAGAUUAAGUCGGCGGUGAAAUUUUGCAGCUCAACUGUAAAAGUGCCUUCGAAACUGGUUUUCUUGAGUGUAGAUGAAGUAGGCGGAAUUUAUGGUGUAGCGGUGAAAUGCUUAGAUAUCACAAAGAACUCCGAUGGCGCAGGCAGCUUACUAAACUGCAACUGACGCUCAGGCGCGAAAGCGUGGGUAUCGAACAGG